rnacentral:rRNA from 1 species
CGUGCCAGCAGCCGCGGUAAUACGUAGGUGGCAAGCGUUGUCCGGAUUUAUUGGGCGUAAAGCGAGCGCAGGCGGUUUCUUAAGUCUGAUGUGAAAGCCCCCGGCUCAACCGGGGAGGGUCAUUGGAAACUGGGAGACUUGAGUGCAGAAGAGGAGAGUGGAAUUCCAUGUGUAGCGGUGAAAUGCGUAGAUAUAUGGAGGAACACCAGUGGCGAAGGCGGCUCUCUGGUCUGUAACUGACGCUGAGGCUCGAAAGCGUGGGGAGCGAACAGGAUUAGAUACCCUGGUAGUCCACGCCGUAAACGAUGAGUGCUAAGUGUUGGAGGGUUUCCGCCCUUCAGUGCUGCAGCAAACGCAUUAAGCACUCCGCCUGGGGAGUACGACCGCAAGGUUGAAACUCAAAGGAAUUGACGGGGGCCCGCACAAGCGGUGGAGCAUGUGGUUUAAUUCGAAGCAACGCGAAGAACCUUACCAGGUCUUGACAUCCUUUGACCACUCUAGAGAUAGAGCUUCCCCUUCGGGGGCAAAGUGACAGGUGGUGCAUGGUUGUCGUCAGCUCGUGUCGUGAGAUGUUGGGUUAAGUCCCGCAACGAGCGCAACCCUUAUUGUUAGUUGCCAUCAUUUAGUUGGGCACUCUAGCGAGACUGCCGGUGACAAACCGGAGGAAGGUGGGGAUGACGUCAAAUCAUCAUGCCCCUUAUGACCUGGGCUACACACGUGCUACAAUGGGAAGUACAACGAGUUGCGAAGUCGCGAGGCUAAGCUAAUCUCUUAAAGCUUCUCUCAGUUCGGAUUGUAGGCUGCAACUCGCCUACAUGAAGCCGGAAUCGCUAGUAAUCGCGGAUCAGCACGCCGCGGUGAAUACGUUCCCGGGCCUUGUACACACCGC